AAUUAGCCCCGAUAGAAGCGACAUCCUUUUUCUUUUUUUGAUAAAAAAGAAAAAGAUAUAGCGGAUAGCGGGAUUAAGC
rnacentral:sRNA from 1 species